rnacentral:rRNA from 1 species
UACGUAGGUGGCAAGCGUUGUCCGGAAUUAUUGGGCGUAAAGCGCGCGCAGGCGGUCUUUUAAGUCUGAUGUGAAAGCCCACGGCUCAACCGUGGAGGGUCAUUGGAAACUGGGAGACUUGAGUGCAGAAGAGAAGAGUGGAAUUCCAGGAGUUAGCGGUCAAAUGCGUAGAUCUCUGGAGGAACACCGAUGGCGAAGGCAGCUUCUUGGCUCAUUUCUGACGCUGAGGCACGAAAGCGUGGGGAGCAAACAGG